GGAGAUAGGACAUUGAGGGGGUGAGAGAGACACCAGCAGAUACUCUGGGUACAAGAGAAGACACUUGUGACUUUGGCUUUAGGUAACUGCGGUGAGAUCCUCUCCGACAUGAGUGCCUGGCCUUUUAAGGGAGCAUCGGUUCAAGCCGCUCUUACCAUCUCCGCACGAGAGGGAAAGCUGGGUUCCCAGAGGCCAGACGUGAUAUGUCAUUCCAUUCACUCUGAUGAAUAAACCUUGUAUGAAGAAUAAUUUUGUUGAACUACCUUCUAUUUUCACCUUUAGGAAACAUACUUCUUUAUAUGCCCAUAUUGAAUCACGUGGCUAUGGAAUGUUAAGAAGUAUGUAACCUGAAGGUGGGAUCCCAGCUGGACAUGAAGUAUGUAACCUGAAGGUGGGAUCCCAGCUGGACAUGAAAGUAUCUUCUUGCCACAUGAGCUGGUAGAAAGCAGACACGUGAAACCCACACCAAAUGUUGACGUGUCCCAAAGUUUCAAGAAACAAUACAAUGGAUGUCAGUAUAUAACAGAAAAUGCCAGCUUUGCCUGGUUGCAGCUGGUGAAAAGGAACCACAUCGACCCUACACAGGAUUUGGUCCCCUUCAACCAGCCGCAACUGAGCAGAUAACAUUCUGAGAGGAAGACCACUGCCAGGACAAGAUGGACGCUAUAUGGACUAGCAAUUAUUCACAUUCAUGUGUAUUUGUUCUGAACAAAUAAAGUAAUUGAAAAUUAAA